GCUGAACGAGUUGAGCAGAAGCUUAAGGAGGCCCGUGAGCCGGCGGAGAAAAGCUUGAAGGAUUAUUUGAAAGUUGUCAAGUAUAAUGAUUUGAAUCUUUGGAAUAUUCGAGUCUCUUCGACGAAAGCGCAUGCUCAAUUGUACAAGAUUGUUCGGAGAU
ensembl:snoRNA Y73B3A.31 ncRNA